CCAAUAGCGUAUAUUAAAGUUGUUGCAGUUAAAAAGCUCGUAGUUGAAUUUCGGGGUUAGUAGGUUGGUCAUGCCUCUGGUAUGUACUGGUCUCACUGAUUCCUCCUUCCUGAUGAACCUUAAUGCCAUUAAUUUGGUGUUUUGGGGAAUUUGGACUGUUACUUUGAAAAAAUUAGAGUGUUUAAAGCAAGCUAACGCUUGAAUACAUUAGCCUGGAAUAAUGAAAUAGGACGUUCGAUCCUAUUUUGUUGGUUUCUAGGAUUGACGUAAUGAUUAAUAGGGAUAGUUGGGGGCAUUAGUAUUCAAUUGUCAGAGGUGAAAUUCUUGGAUUUAUUGAAGACUAACUACCGCGAAAGCAUUUGCCAAGGAUGUUUUCAUUAAUCAAGAACGAAAGUUAGGGGAUCGAAGACGAUCAGAUACCGUCGUAGUCUUAACCAUAAACUAUGCCGACUAGGGAUCGGAUGAUGUUAAUUUUUUAAUGACUCAUUCGGCGCCUUACG
rnacentral:rRNA from 1 species